GUCAAGUCAUCAUGGCCCUUAUGUCCAGGGCUACACACGUGCUACAAUGGGCGGUACAGAGUGAAGCGAAGCCGCGAGGCGAGAGCGAAACACGAAAGCCGGCCGUAGUUCGGAUUGAAGUCUGAAACCCGACUUCAUGAAGUUGGAAUCGCUAGUAAUCGCGCAUCAGCAUGGCCGCGGUCGAAUACGUUCCGGGCCUU
rnacentral:rRNA from 1 species